CCCUCUCUUAUGUGACUUGCCAGCAUAUUCAAUAUGCUGACCUACACGGCUGCAACGUCUUAUGUUGCUGAUAUUUUUCUUCUUCGACGACUAAGAGUACGAUUCAGGGUUACGGUCUACACUCAACUUGCCGUUGGUGUUUAUUGGGACUCCACUCCCUUGACUGCUUCCGCUGAGAUAUUUAAGGUGUAUAUCAGUUUUACGCUAUUUACAUGUGAUUGCACUUUGAUAUAUACAUUGAUGUACUGUGUGUGCCAGCAUACUGAUCCAGGGAUGGCACAGAUACACAGACACUUGACUCGUUUUGAGUCGGGUCGCUACAGAAAUGGUAUCAGAGCAGAUGUUGACUGUAGGACGUGACCCUAGAAACUGGAAAUUUCUUAGGAUAGGAUCUCUCUAAAAAUUCUUCAAUAACACCUUUUACUUC
rnacentral:lncRNA from 1 species